ACAAUACCUACAUCUAAUAUGAUAUUUUGGAUCAAAAUUUUAUUAGAAAAUAACCCGGGCGUAGCCCGGGAACUGACCUAGUUGUGCUAAUGAAUAUUAUCGAGAAUAAUUGGCCACUUGAAUAUAUAAAUAAAUUCAAUUAAAAUUAGAAGCACACCAAACUUGUGUUUCUAUUCUAGACCGGCUCUGUGCAAUAAAGUGAUGAAUUUCUCUCGAUCCAUAAAGAUGAUGGGGUUUGUUUGCUAUUUUCUUAUAAGAAAAAAAAACAGAAAAAGAAAAGAAAUUUUACAUUGUGGGACGCUUUUCCACUUUGCAAUUACACCUCAAAGCACAUAGCGCUUGAGGGACACUUCUACACAUCGAAAAGAUACGAAUGACCCUAACUUAAAAAAAAACGAAACGGAACUGAACAUGUUCUCAGUUGAUGUUCCCCAACUAUAUAUUUAUAUUUUUAUCCUAGCUAAAUAGCUAAUAUAUAUAUUUUUUAAACUAUACUACCGACAAACCAAAAACUUUACAUUUCUCUUAUCUCAAAUCUCAAAUUCACUUUCCCAAAUCCAGAAACCCUAAUCCCACUUAAUUCCUCUUCAUUCUCGUUUUGAAGACAAUGAAGAACUGAUUUCUUUCUCUGUCUUGAAGCCAAAAACCCAUUUAUCUUCUUCUUCUGGUUCUUGCUUUGAGAUGGUUACAAGUAGAUUAUGUGGACAUGAGAUUUGAAGACAAGAAAAUGCAUAGCAAUCAUCUUCUGCUCAAAGUUGACAUCUUUUUCUGUGAUCUCUGAGAAUCAAGCAUGUUGGAGCAGCAGAAGAAGAAGAGGUUUGCUCUGUUUCUCACCAAGUGCGACUCCGAGUUCGUGAAGAAGGUUAACGGUGGCUACUUCAAUAUCUUCGUCUCCACUUGUGGCGAAGACGGUGAGCAAUGGGAUCUCUUCCGAGUGGUAGACAGCUUUUCCUGAUGAGAGUUCAAAAAAAAAAAUUCAAGAGAGGAUCGAUAUGUGAUGAUAAGACCAGAGCUCGUAGUGAAAUCGAUAGUGGAUGAGUUCGAUUGUGGAUGAGUUCGAUCGUGGAUGAGUUCAAUCGUGGAUAAGUUCGAUCGUGGAUGAGUUCGGGAUUUGCCGUGGCUGAGCUUGGGAUCCGUCGUGGCUGAGCUCAAGGUAGUUGCGGUGGAGUUUCAGAGAGUGGAUGAACUUGGGAUUCAGCUACAGUUUCACUGCCUCGAGAACCCUUAAAACUCACCAGACAUUUCAAAUUCACCGUGAGAUAACCUCUUUCCAGAUUUUGUUGGAACUAGUCAACUAUAUCUGAUCGUCGGACAAAUUAAUGCCUUUGGCAUGGUAGAUUUAUCAAAUGAAGGUAGCAGACACGAGAGCUAUGAGUUUUUUCAGUGAUCAGCUUGGUGAUAUGGAUCAAAGUCAGACUGUUUAAUGCGAGUCUAGUGUGAAUGAGGAGGCCACCCAACAUGUUUCUGAUGUUGAAAACAGUUCGACUCUUGGUAGUGUGGUAGAUGUGGCUCCCACUAUCAUGCCACUGAAGCAACUAGAAGCGAGAUAAAUAUUUGUCCAGAUUGCAGGGAGGAACACAAUUUUGUGGAAACAAUCCCCCUGAAACAACAAGAGCUCUUGAUGAAAACUCCCUGAAACAGCCUCAAGAGAUCUUUGAUGAAAAAGAGUCUUUUGUUGAGACAAUUCCUGCCAUAGAUUUGUACCUCCAUCAUUUGUUUGGUUUUAAGGGUAUGCGGCUGCUCUUGAUAUGACUGCUAGGGAACUCCAAACUAUUGCCAAGGUAACAAUCUGAUUUUUAGUUCAUGUCAAUCUCACUUGUUAGAUGUUUCUUGUACUCUUUUUUGCUUUGUAUUUAAUGAAUAUUGAUGAUAUAACUCUUUCUUUAAUGGAAUACCCAUCGUGCGCCUAAA